rnacentral:rRNA from 1 species
AUUGAACGCUGGCGGAAUGCUUUACACAUGCAAGUCGAACGGCAGCAUAGGUGCUUGCACCUGAUGGCGAGUGGCGAACGGGUGAGUAAUACAUCGGAACGUGCCCAGUCGUGGGGGAUAACGUAGCGAAAGUUACGCUAAUACCGCAUACGAUCUACGGAUGAAAGCGGGGGACCGUAAGGCCUCGCGCGAUUGGAGCGGCCGAUGUCAGAUUAGGUAGUGGGUGGGGUAAAGGCCCACCAAGCCACCGAUCUGUAGCUGGUCUGAGAGGACGACCAGCCACACUGGGACUGAGACACGGCCCAGACUCCUACGGGAGGCAGCAGUGGGGAAUUUUGGACAAUGGGCGCAAGCCUGAUCCAGCCAUUCCGCGUGCAGGAUGAAGGCCUUCGGGUUGUAAACUGCUUUUGUACGGAACGAAAAGCUCUGGGUUAAUACCCCGGGGUCAUGACGGUACCGUAAGAAUAAGCACCGGCUAACUACGUGCCAGCAGCCGCAGUAA